CUACGGGCGGCUGCAGUGGGGAAUAUUGGACAAUGGGGGAAACCCUGAUCCAGCAAUGCCGCGUGUGUGAAGAAGGCCUGCGGGUUGUAAAGCACUUUCGGUUGGGAGGACUGCUUCUAGCACUAAUAUUGUUGGAAGUUGACGUUACCUUCAGAGGAAGCACCGGCUAACUCCGUGCCAGCAGCCGCGGUAAUACGGAGGGUGCAGGCGUUAAUCGGAAUUACUGGGCGUAAAGCGCGCGUAGGCGGCUAGAUCAGUCGGGUGUGAAAGCCCCGGGCUUAACCUGGGAACUGCAUCCGAUACUGUCUAGCUUGAGUACAGGAGAGGAGAGUGGAAUUCCACAUGUAGCGGUGAAAUGCGUGGAUAUGUGGAGGAACACCAAUGGCGAAGGCAGCUCUCUGGCCUGAUACUGACGCUGAGGUGCGAAAGCGUGGGGAGCAAACAGGAUUAGAUACCCGAGUAGUC
rnacentral:rRNA from 1 species